UACGUAGGGCGCAAGCGUUUAUCCGGAAUUAUUGGGCGUAAAGAGCUCGUAGGCGGUUUGUCGCGUCGGCCGUGAAAUCUCCACGCUUAACGUGGAGCGUGCGGUCGAUACGGGCAGACUUGAGUUCGGUAGGGGAGACUGGAAUUCCGUGGUGUAGCGGUGAAAUGCGCAGAUAUCAGGAGGAACACCUGCGGCGAAGGCGGGUGCUGGGCUGAUACUGACGCUGAGGCGCGAA
rnacentral:rRNA from 1 species